GGUAAACGCUGGCGGCGUGCCUAAAACAUGCAAGUCGAACGCAUCUCGCAAGAGGUGAGUGGCAGACGGCUGAGUAACGCGUGGGUGACCUACCGAGGGGUGGGGAAUAACUGCCCGAAAGGGUGGCUAAUACCGCAUAGGCUCGACUCGCAAGAGGUGAGCAAAGUCGCAAGACGCCUUUCGAGGGCCCGCGUCCGAUUAGCUGGUUGGUGGGGUAACGGCCUACCAAGGCGACGAUCGGAGCUGGUCUCAGAGGAUGAUCAGCCAGACUGGGACUGAGAGACGGCCCAGACUCCUACGGGAGGCAGCAGUUAGGAAUUUUGGGCAAUGGGCGCAAGCCUGACCCAGCAACGCCGCGUGGGUGACGACGGCCUCGGUUGUAAGUACC
rnacentral:rRNA from 1 species